UAUGGAAGCUUGCUUCCACUGAGAAGAUAGUGGCGAACGGGUGAGGUAACACGUGGGUAACCUGCCCAUAGGAGGGGGGAUAACAUCCGGAAACGGGUGCUAAUACCGCAUAGUUUUCUUGAUCGCAUGAUCGGGAAAGGAAAGACGGCCUUUGUGCUGUCGCUUAUGGAUGGACCCGCGGCGUAUUAGUUAGUUGGUGAGGUAAUGGCUCACCAAGACGAUGAUACGUAGCCGACCUGAGAGGGUGAUCGGCCACAUUGGGACUGAGACACGGCCCAAACUCCUACGGGAGGCAGCAGUAGGGAAUCUUCCGCAAUGGACGAAAGUCUGACGGAGCAACGCCGCGUGAGUGAAGAAAAGGUUUUCGGAUCGUAAAACUCUGUUGUCAGAGAAGAACAAGUUGGAGAGUAACUGCUCCAGCCUUGACGGUAUCUGACCAGAAAGCCACGGCUAACUACGUGCCAGCCGCGGC
rnacentral:rRNA from 1 species